CAGUCGCCGCGGUAAUACAGAGGGUGCGAGCGUUAAUCGGAUUUACUGGGCGUAAAGCGUGCGUAGGCGGCUAAUUGAGUCGGAUGUGAAAUCCCCGAGCUUAACUUGGGAAUUGCAUUCGAUACUGGUUAGCUAGAGUGUGGGAGAGGAUGGUAGAAUUCCAGGUGUAGCGGUGAAAUGCGUAGAGAUCUGGAGGAAUACCGAUGGCGAAGGCAGCCAUCUGGCCUAACACUGACGCUGAGGUACGAAAGCAUGGGGAGCAAACAGGAUUAGAGACCCGGGUAGUCCCUGUCUCUUAUAC
rnacentral:rRNA from 1 species